GGGGGGGCGUGACUAGUACAUGCAGUUGAGCGCUGAAGAUUGGUACUUGUACCGAUUGGAUGAGCAGCGAACGGGUGAGUAACGCGUGGGGAAUCUGCCUUUGAGCGGGGGACAACAUUUGGAAACGAAUGCUAAUACCGCAUAAUAGCUUUAAACAUAAGUUUUUAGUUUGAAAGAUGCAAAUGCAUCACUCAAAGAUGAUCCCGCGUUGUAUUAGCUAGUUGGUGAGGUAAAGGCUCACCAAGGCGAUGAUACAUAGCCGACCUGAGAGGGUGAUCGGCCACAUUGGGACUGAGACACGGCCCAAACUCCUACGGGAGGCAGCAGUAGGGAAUCUUCGGCAAUGGACGAAAGUCUGACCGAGCAACGCCGCGUGAGUGAAGAAGGUUUUCGGAUCGUAAAACUCUGUUGUUAGAGAAGAACGACGAGGAGAGUGGAAAGCUCCUCGUGUGACGGUAUCUAACCAGAAAGGGACGGCUAACUACGUGCCAGCAGCCGCGGUAAUACGUAGGUCCCGAGCGUUGUCCGGAUUUAUUGGGCGUAAAGCGAGCGCAGGUGGUUUAUUAAGUCUGGUGUAAAAGGCAGUGGCUCAACCAUUGUAUGCAUUGGAAACUGGUAGACUUGAGUGCAGGAGAGGAGAGUGGAAUUCCAUGUGUAGCGGUGAAAUGCGUAGAUAUAUGGAGGAACACCGGUGGCGAAAGCGGCUCUCUGGCCUGUAACUGACACUGAGGCUCGAAAGCGUGGGGAGCAAACAGGAUUAGAUACCCUGGUAGUCCACGCCGUAAACGAUGAGUGCUAGAUGUAGGGAGCUAUAAGUUCUCUGUAUCGCAGCUAACGCAAUAAGCACUCCGCCUGGGGAGUACGACCGCAAGGUUGAAACUCAAAGGAAUUGACGGGGGCCCGCACAAGCGGUGGAGCAUGUGGUUUAAUUUCGAAGCAACGCGAAGAACCUUACCAGGUCUUGACAUACUCGUGCUAUUCCUAGAGAUAGGAAGUUCCUUUCGGGACACGGGAUACAGGUGGUGCAUGAUGUCGUCAGCUCGUGUCGUGAGAUGUGGGUUAGUCCCCGCACGAGCGCACCCCUAUUGUUAGUUG
rnacentral:rRNA from 1 species